GACGAACGCUGGCGGCGUGCCUAAUACAUGCAAGUAGAACGCUGAAGAGAGGAGCUUGCUCUUCUUGGAUGAGUUGCGAACGGGUGAGUAACGCGUAGGUAACCUGCCUGGUAGCGGGGGAUAACUAUUGGAAACGAUAGCUAAUACCGCAUAAAAUGGAUUAUCGCAUGAUAAUCCAUUGAAAGGUGCAAAUGCAUCACUACCAGAUGGACCUGCGUUGUAUUAGCUAGUUGGUGGGGUAACGGCUCACCAAGGCGACGAUACAUAGCCGACCUGAGAGGGUGAUCGGCCACACUGGGACUGAGACACGGCCCAGACUCCUACGGGAGGCAGCAGUAGGGAAUCUUCGGCAAUGGACGGAAGUCUGACCGAGCAACGCCGCGUGAGUGAAGAAGGUUUUCGGAUCGUAAAGCUCUGUUGUAAGAGAAGAACGAGUGUGAGAGUGGAAAGUUCACACUGUGACGGUAUCCUACCAGAAAGGGACGGCUAACUACGUG
rnacentral:rRNA from 1 species